GAUGAACGCUAGCGGCAGGCCUAAUACAUGCAAGUCGAGGGGUAGAAGAGGCUUGCUUCUUUGAGACCGGCGCACGGGUGCGUAACGCGUAUGCAACCUACCUUCAUCUGGGGGAUAGCCCGGAGAAAUCCGGAUUAAUACCGCAUAAAAUCACAGGAUGGCAUUAUCCAAUGAUCAAACAUUUAUGGGAUGGAGAUGGGCAUGCGUGUCAUUAGCUAGUUGGCGGGGUAACGGCCCACCAAGGCGACGAUGACUAGGGGAUCUGAGAGGAUGGCCCCACACACGAGUAAUGAGACACGGACCAGACUCCUACGGGAGGCAGCAGUAAGGAAUAUUGGUCAAUGGAGGCAACUCUGAACCAGCCAUGCCGCGUGCAGGAAGACUGCCCUAUGGGUUGUAAACUGCUUUUAUUCGGGAAUAAACCUUAUUACGUGUAAUAAGCUGAAUGUACCGAAGGAAUAAGGAUCGGCUAACUCCGUGCCAGCCGCCGCUGUAAUAC
rnacentral:rRNA from 1 species